GUUUGUCUUGCGACUAGAUUUCAUCAUAUUUUAGCAGAUGGAGCUUCAACGUACCAUUUCGUCAACUCAUGGGCUGAGAUGACACGUGGUGUUCUUAUUAGCAUUCCACCUUUCUUUGAUCGAACCGUACUAGAUUUUGGGGUUCCAAAUUCUCCUAGAUUCCAUCACAUUGAAUACGACCCACCUCCUUCAAUGAAUACUCCUACUCAAAAUUCCGAAUCCAUUUGUACCGCAAUCCUGAAUCUGUCACUUGAGCAAAUCAAGAUUCUCAAGGAAAAAUCUAAAGAAAAUCGUGGAUCCACAUUCGAGUACACUAGACUUGAGGUCCUGGCAGCACAUAUUUGGCGAUGCGUAUGUAAAGCACGUGAAUUGUCUGAUGAUCAAGCCAGCAAGUUACACUUUCCUACAAAUGGACGUUCUAAAUUGAAUCCUCCACUCCCAUCCGGGUAUUUCGGAAAUGUAGUCUUCACCACUGCAUUGAUCGCCUUAUCAGGUAAUAUCCUAUCAGAACCCCUGAAUUAUACAGUAGAGCGAAUCCAUAGAGCAUUAGAGCGGAUGAAUGACGAGUAUUUGAAAUCAGCUCUUGCUUAUCUACGUCAACAACCUGAUCCCACAGUUCUAAGAAGAGGAGCUCACACGUAUAAGUGCCCUAAUUUUAAUAUAGUAUAUUUAGCAAACAUGCCUAUUUAUGAUGCAAAUUUCGGGUGGGGGCCGCCAAUGUUUUCAAGGUUGGUUAAUACAUAUUUCGAAGGGGUAGCGCAUAUUUAUCCAAGUCCAAGCAAUGAUGGGAGCUUGACAGUGUUUAUAAACUUGGAAACCCAUCACGUGCAGCCCUUCAAGAAGUUGUUUUAUGAGAUCUUUCAGCACCCCAAGAAUGCAAGAUCUAGAUAUUGAUAUGUCAGUGAUCAAUCAAUGUGAUAAACCAAGUCUGAGAGAAAAUGAUCAAGGGAUCCCUGGUUCGGGUGACUCAACUAGCUGUUGAUGGCUGUAGAUAUUGUGUGUCUUCGGCUCAUUAUGGUUUUGACCUUCCACUUUUGUCAUCCUUGAUAAAAGUUUUUUUCUUUUUUAAUUUCAUAUUUUGUUAGCUCUUUAAUUAGUAAUAUAUUAUUAGUGAUGUACACAGAAUGAGAUUGUUUUCUUCUUUAAUAUAAUAGCUCACUACGCGAUACCAUUACCAAAAGUUCCUAUAACAACUCGAUCUUCCAGCUACCAUACCCUCAAGAACUUUAGAGUAUGUUGGGAAUAGUCAACUAGCCAAACAAAAACGCUAAAGUCCCUUGCAUUAUAAUUCAGAUGUUAUUAAGAGAUUUUUUUUUUUAAAUUUUCAUGACAUCUUUGAUAUAUUUUAGAAUUUCUCCCAUAUGAAAUUUUAAUUUUUUUUUAAAACAAUUGUUAGAUUCGUUGAAUAGGCAUUGUGUUUAACACUUAUUUAAAAAAAAUCCAAAUAUUAUUCUCGGUAAUGAAAAUGUGACACAUUUACAAACCCAACAACUUUGGAAAAUCAAAAUGAAGUAACGAGUAGAUAGAUAAACAGUAUCAAAGCCGAAGGACCAAAGAAGGAACCUAGCCACUUUACAAAAUGAAAAAAUGAAACUACGUGGAGUCGUAUCAUUAAGCCAAAUAUGCGACAUUAUGCAAUGAUAUUUUAGCCCCUCACAUAGUUACACAAUGGGGCGAGGUACACCAUAAACUUUCUCUAUUAGAAACACCAUAAACUUACAAACAGAAAAAAAAAAAAAAAAAAAAAAAGUUGAUGGUGGAAGAGAGUUCACGACAAAAGAGAAAUAGAGAGAGGUAAGCAAAUGGGAGAGAGAAAGAGAUAUAAACUUAUCAAGAGAAAGAGAAGAUAGGUGCAAACAUUUUAGGUAUUUAUUGAAUAAGAAAUUAGGACUAUUUUUAGAAUUAAAAUAGGGGUAUAAGAACAUUUUAAUUUUUAAAUAAUUUUAAUGGGGCAGAAAGAAGAAAAGGAAUUUCAAGAGUUAUUUGGAGGAUGUCAAUAGUCCAACUCAUGGAGGAUGUCAAUAGUCCAACUCAUGUGAUUAAAUAAAUUGGCCCACUUUCAUUAUUUUGUCACCAAUAUCUGAAAAAAAAAAUUUACAGCAAAAUUUAUUGUUCUUAAUUAGAGAUGGCCAAUGGCCAGGCAACAUGCGGCACGGUACGGACACGGUGCAUGUCGAUACAACACGGCAAGACAUGAGCAUAUUUUGGUAGGGCAUGCAGCACAACAUGACACGUAUGCAUGCUGGGCUGAGUUAAAAAUUCUAGGCACGUGAGCCUUAAAAGUACAGGAUGAUUAAAGACAACAAUUGAUAAUAUAUAUGACAAUCUCCUGAUAAAUUUGGUGUGAGUUAAGAAAGAAAUUGAUCAUCACCAGUUACAUGAGGAAAAACCAAAGAAAAAAUAAAAAAGACAACACUUCUUUGAGCAAAAGUCAUAAACAACUUUACCAUUGAGGAUGCAAGACCCUUUUUUUUUAACUUAAUGAAUUAAUUGACUAAUUUUAAUCAGUUAAGUAUUAAGUUUAUUUGUUUUUUCAACUUAAUGAAAAUUUUCAGUUAUUAAGCUAUUUUUUUAGCUUUUUACUUAAUCUAAAAAGUCUGAAUAACAUCGUUAAAAGAUAUUCUCUAAAAUAUCCUUAUCUAAUUAAUUAAUUUUUAAUCCUUACGUGAAUUAAAUUUAAUAAUUAGCAAUAUUAGCCAUCUCUAUAUAACUUGUGAUAAUAUAUAGUGGUAGAUUAUAAUUAUUUUUUUUUUUAUUUUCUUCACAUUAGCAUUAUUUAUCUUCAUAAUUUUCUAUGAAUAUUUUUCAUUUAAAAACAUCAUAAACUAUAAUAAAAUUGUUUAACAUAUAUAACAUAGAAUAUUAAAGAGUUGCAUUCAAUUGAAUAUGAUUUAUGUUAUUAUAUUUUUUGAGAUGUUUAUUAUUUGCUAACAUUUAUAAUUUAUAAGGGCAUAAAUGUAAAAAAUAUUAGUUUUUAGAUUUUUUAAGAUUAAAAAAAUUAAUAUUUAUUUUUAGCGAUUCAGACAAAAAAAGAAACAUAUCAUUCAGCUUCAGACAUUCAGUUCUAUUCACAAUUUUAACUAAUUUAGAUUUAUUCAGAUUUCAGACAAAAAAAAAAAAAAAAACUACAUGCGUCUAUAGCAAAAACAUAAGAGUCUGUAGUUCAUCCUAUUACAAAUAUUUAAGCCCAAAAUAUUUUACAUAGCACCACAAGUCUAAAUUUCCAAAAAAAAAAAAACACACGUUUCCAAUGUUCCAAAAUGGUGUGCUUACUUGACAAAACACAAUUUCAAUUUCCAAAAUGAUAGAAGAUUACAUCUCAUGAAUCACGACCAAUUUUUGAAAGGAUAUAUCCCUUUUUCCAGCUCAUUGGGCAAGUUGAAGAACCCACGUAGCACAUCAUGUUUGGUGGCCAUAAUAUCAAUCGCAUCAAAUAUUUCUUUCUCACUUAAGCCAACAAUCUUACGCAUUUUAUCAUACAACUUAACUUGUAAAUCAGAUAACUACUUAUUAGUAGUAGAAAGUACACUAAUCAACCCAUCUAAUUUGGGUACCAUGGUUGAAAUGGACUCCGUCGUUGCUCCUAUUUUUGAGCACAUAUUGUGAAAUGUUUUGUCCUUGGUUCUCCUUUCCUUUUUUGGGUGGCUGGAAUUACUUGGAGCACUUUCAUUUUUAUUAGCAGGUGCUUGUGAAUUUGAGAAUAUAGAUAUGCGAAUAGAGAUAAUAUUAACAUUCAAAACCAUUAGAUGAGAAAACAAAGAGUUACGAAGCUAAAUCUACCGAGCCCAUAACAAAUCACACAAGUAAACAAGUAAUUUUCAUUUCUUUAUAAUGGAACCUCUACUAAGUGAGGUGGGAAAAUUUAUUAACUAAAAGAAAGUGAAAAUAGUGCAAGAGAGAAGAAAGAGCAAAUGCUAGCCAUAGCUAAACCAUGAAAAGACAUAUAGGCAAGAACUAAAGAGUUACAAAGCUAAAGCUAUCGAGGCUGGACAUAAACGAAGCCCAUCACAAGUCAUGUAUAAGCAAAUAAGUUAAUAAACUAAGAAAUUAUUACAUUUAAAAUUUAAUAUAAAUAUAAAAUUAUGAUCAUUAUUAGUUUUUUUUUUUUAUUAUAUGAGACUAUUGCUCAAACUACAACUGAUAUUAUAUGAGACUAUAACUGAUAUUUACAAAUCAGACUAUUACUGGAAUCGACUUACAUCAAUGCCUACAGAGCUCUGCCCAGAUUUUAAUCAUCACUAAUAUUCGAGGGAUGUCUACCGACUUACAUCAAUGCCUACGGAGCUUUGCCUAGAUUUUAAUCCACAUUAAUAUUCGAAAGAUGUCUACUCCACUUACUCUUGGAUAAGAGAGAAUAUUACCUUCACUCAUUUAUACAAUAUAAUUAAGGAAGGAAAUACCCCCACAUUGCGCAGGGCGAGUGGCAUGAUAAUUAUUAGUUAAAUAAACUAAGAACUUAUUACAUGAAGUUCCCACUUACCAAGUAUAUCCAGGUUUCUGUUCAAUCAUCUCUAAUUAGAAAACGAAAAUAUUCCACAGUUCUUUAUUUUCUUUUGAAAAAGAAAAUCCUCGUUUUCUUGGUAUUCCUUCAAAUUAAAGUUAAAAUGAUAGAUGAGAGGCAGAUAAUGGAAGGCAAAAGACAGAAGAAAAAGGUUGGUCAUAAUGUGUUAAAACGAAAAAUAUGCUUUUGAGAACAAAUCUACUCAAAUCCCUAACUACUCUUACUCCAACUGAUGUGUGUAAGCAAAUAAUGAUGUGACCUCGAUCAUCUCAAUGACUCUGUAACAACCCUAUAAAUAUAUAUUUUUAUCUAUCCUGCUAGUUUGUACAUGGGAUCAGAACCCUCAAUCAAUGGUAGUUGGCUCAAGAUUUUAAAAGAAGCGGGGAGUUCGGAAUCCUCUCACUUCCAUAUUUUUUGUUUUUUUUUUUGGUUUAAACCACCCGAUUUCCGGCAACUGCAUUGGGCCCCGACUAAUCCGGAUUCGGGGUGUAAUCACAGUUAAGGCUCUUUACCCCUCCCAAAUGGUUUGUUUAGUGGGGAUCGAACUCGAGAACUCUUCCCACUUACCCAGCCUGCGUCGCCAACUGAGCCACAACCGUUUGGUCACUUCCAUAUUUACUUGCUUGUUUAAGAAAGAAAAUAAGAAUCCCUGUUCACAAGUAUUAUUUCAUUUUCUUAAUUUUUUAUUUCUGGUACUUACUUCAUUUUUCUCUAUUCAUUAGGUCUGGAUCCACGAAAUCUGCACCCGGUCCUUUUUUGAAGGGUGGGGUUAUAUGCACUCUAAAAUUUACUUUGGACACUCACAUUUUAAUAAUUAUUUAUAUUACUAAAUUAACCUUAAUGUAAUUUACUAUUAAGGACAAUUUUAAUAAAAUAUAGUAUAACAAAUUUUUGUCCAACAUCAUAUUUUAUUUACAAUAAACCACAUCAACUUUAUAACUGAAACAAAAGGAAUUAAAAAUAGAGGUGGAGGAAGAACAACAAAUUGCACCACUCCAACAUAAGAAAACGCAAGUAAAUCAAAGGAUUUUGUUUUAAAUUUGCUCUCCGAUUUGCAUGCUUUUAUGGGUUUGAAAAACAAUUAAAUUGCGGCAAUAAGAGAAGAACAAAUACAGGGGCGGGUGCAGUAUGUGACCAGUGGGGGUUGUAGCCCUCGCUGGCCAAAAAAAAAAUUCUAAGAAUAAAAGAAAAAAUAUUUAAGAUUUCUAAUUAGUCCCCAAUAAAUCUAUUAAAAUUGACCUUAUACAUUUAUAAAUUCACAAAAUUUAAACUUUAACUUUUAAAAUUAUAAAAGCCUACAUUAUAAUUAAAAAUAAUGAUAGGUCAUCACCACAAAUAUUUUUCUAUUCUUGAAAAUGUGUCAAGAACAAUUAUAAAUAUAUUAAUAAAUAUUUUAUAUAUUCAAAGUUUUAGUUUUAAAAUUUUACUAUUAUGUAAUCUAGGCUUCGGUAAAUUAUUUUUUUAGAUCUGCCACUGAACAAAUACAUAUCAAACCAUAUUAUGAACAGAAAAGAAAAGUGAAUAAAAAUGGAAAAAAAAGUUAGAUAUUUUGUUUGUGAUGAUGAAUAUUUCAUUUGGUAUAAAGAAGAAACAAGGUAAUUAAAGAAAUGAGGACAAUAUAAAAUUUAAAAGAGUGUUACAAAUAAAAACUAACAUUUUUGAGAUUAUUAAUUAAGCGCGCGGACUAAACGAAUGUUUAAAGUAGAUUUUAGCGUUCAAAUAGCCCUACUGUUUUUCUAAUGAUAUGUGCAUUAUUAAAUUUAAAAAAAAGUUGGAUGCAGAUCAUCAGCAUCUGAUAUUUGCCACGUAUUCGGAUCCAUUUUUUAAUUAUAAAAAAAAAAAGACAAAAAUAGAAUUUUUUAUUUUGAAACUGAGACAAAAACAGAGUCAGAGGCGUGUAAGUUUCAUAACCUUUCCUUUUUUUUUUUAAAGAAAAUCCUAAACGCAGCCUGCCGACACAACACACGAAAGCUGCUAGAGCAGAGAAGAUUAACCGCCGUCUGCCGCUGCCGUUCUAAUCAGCCAAGUCGCCACGGCUAGCACAAUGGAAAUUCAUGUACAGAAGUCAACAAUGAUACGGCCUGCCCAAGAAACGCCCAAGCAACGCCUACGAAAUUCUGACUUGGACUUGGUUGCGCCGUCCAAUUACAACCCCCUGGUAUUCUUUUAUCGACGGCCAAAUUAUUCUUCCCCUAAUUUCUUUGAUGCUGGUUUGCUGAAGGAGUCUCUGAAAAAGAUUCUUGUGCCGUUUCGACCCGUGGCUGGAAGGUUGCCGAGUGAUGAAAGUGGCAGAACCGACAUACUAUGUAACGGAGAGGGGGUUUUGUUUGUGGAGGCGGAAACAAGUUGUGUUAUUGAUGAUUUUGGUGACUUCGCCGAAGGCUCCAAGCUUUUGCCGUUGCUUCCAACUUUUGAUGAGACGAAAGAUAAUUCUUCUUAUCCAGUCAUGAUGACACAGGUACGACGAAUAUUUAAUCCCCUGAUCAAUUGAUUCAUGAGACUUGGUUUUAUUAAGUAAUGCUGUGCUGUGUGUGUUGAGUAGGUAACUCGUUUCAAAUGCGGAGGCGUUUGUCUUGCGACUAGAUUUCAUCAUAUUUUAGCAGAUGGAGCUUCAACGCACCAUUUCGUCAACUCAUGGGCUGAGAUGACACGUGGUGUUCCUAUUAGCAUUCUACCUUUCUUUGAUCGAACCGUACUAGAUUUUGGGGUUCCAAAUUCUCCUAGAUUCCAUCACAUUGAAUACGACCCACCUCCUUCAAUGAAUACUCCUACUCAAAAUUCCGAAUCCAUUUGUACCGCAAUCCUGAAUCUGUCACUUGAGCAAAUCAAGAUUCUCAAGGAAAAAUCUAAAGAAAAUCGUGGAUCCACAUUCGAGUACACUAGACUUGAGGUCCUGGCAGCACAUAUUUGGCGAUGCGUAUGUAAAGCACGUGAAUUGUCUGAUGAUCAAGCCAGCAAGUUACACUUUCCUACAAAUGGACGUUCUAAAUUGAAUCCUCCACUCCCAUCCGGGUAUUUCGGAAAUGUAGUCUUCACCACUGCAUUGAUCGCCUUAUCAGGUAAUAUCCUAUCAGAACCCCUGAAUUAUACAGUAGAGCGAAUCCAUAGAGCAUUAGAGCGGAUGAAUGACGAGUAUUUGAAAUCAGCUCUUGCUUAUCUACGUCAACAAC
rnacentral:lncRNA from 1 species